UGAUUUACUUGAUUUAGGGGUGCAGCUGCCCCCUGCCCCCCUUGGCUACACCCAUGGUAUUUGGUCUACCCUAGAACACAUUUAUUGAUUUAAAUCUGCUCCCCUAAACAUUGCCUGUCCUCUCCCUCCACCCCAAGCUACAGCAUAUAUAAUUGGUGGUUUAGUUUUCCCUUGGAGUAAAUUCACUCUACUUUAAAAUCAUAUUCUCAAAAAUAGCCAUAGUCUCAUGGUAGCUGGCUCUUACUUAAUUAUUUAGGCUGAAAUUUUAGGUUGCAUUAACUAAUAGCACUUUACUUUUUAUGCAAACGGCAGAGUGCAAACUGUGAAAGCAAUUAGCAAGCAGCAUAAAAAGAAGCCAAUGAAGUUGGGCUCGCAGCCAAAUCCAAUGAUAUUGUAGAGUCAGAUAUCCAAGGUAUCCAAGAUUUUAAAGGCUUGAUUCCCAGCUGUCAGUAAUAUGUUACAAAGUUGUAUACAUAUACAGUAUACAAUAGCAUGCAGAAAUCACUAAAAAAUGAAGGGUUGUCUGCUAACACAAGAGCCCUUACACUAGCAGAUGGCAGAGUUUAAAAGUUGUGGAAUAAAGGACCCCAUGCAACUGUUGGAAUAGUGGAAGCUUGUUGCAGGUAUCUUCAGAGAGCUUUAGAACCCUAAGCAGAAUGGGACCCCAUUUUGAGAAAGCAGGCUAGGAUCUGACUCCAAUGGAGGUGUGGCCGGAUCCAUCAGAGCAGCAGCAUGGGAGGAAAAAUCUAAUGCUAGCAUCUAGACCAAACGGGCCUGAGUCCCUACCUUCGGAUCCUGCCCUGCCUGAGGAAUUAAUCCCCUUCACUCAAAGAACUUGCAUCCUCAUGCCAACCCAUCAAUGUAGGCAACAUGCCUGGAAGGAUUUGUCAGAAAGGAGAAGUGCUCAGUUCCAAGCCAGAGGCCUGCCCCUUUAUAGCCUUUGGAACUUUCCAUGGUGCUGACUUGUCUCAUGUGCCCAAUAUUAGGACAAUAGAAAUGCAAUGGCUCAAACAACAUGAAAUCAUCCCAGGAUUCUCUGAGCUGUGGGUGAAAUUGGGGGAAGGACUCAUCUGCUAAACUCAUAGCAAAUGUGCAGAGUGCACAGUGAGGCCUCCCCUCCACCCUGGAAACUGAAAGUAGGAAAUCAAAGACAUCCAGUGGAAAACAAAAAGCAACAGCAGGGGAAUACAGUAGGGUCAAAUACCUCUGGCUUGGAUCCCCAGUACUCUAGAAGGUGCAUACCUAGUCUUAUUCAUAAUAGUUUUAUUUGUGCCCCAGUUGUCCAAACAUGCCAUGGAGGCCUGAAUAGGUGUGCUAGCAGUAACAAGUAAAAUGAAUUCCCAUAGUGCAAUAGAGCUCCCCCUGUCUCCUCCUCUCUGCACCCUUCAAAACAGCUCUUGGGGAUUGGAAGAACCCCCAGAACAGCACACAGAGGGAGCUUAUUAACUCGGGCAAGCAGAAAUGCUUGUGCUGAUGGAAAAAUGGCCUUACAGCAAUGUUGAAAUCCACCCAAAAUUAAUAGAGAUGUAUAGCCUGUGGUAAAUGAUAUACAUUGAUUAACAUUCUUGUCCUCCGUAAUGCAAGUAGAAACUGUGUGCCAAAAAAGGUGGCCUUCCUCAAACUCCAGCAAGCCAGCAGUAAGAGCAACCUCAUUUUAACUUCUAGCUCUCACCACUUUAGGCCUGCAACAGAGGAGAUGAGAAGGGCCAUUGUGACGAAAAAGUUGGUUUUGCUGGACCAGUUGGAUCAACAAGUGUUCUUUCUUUCUUUCCCUGCCAACAAAUGGUUAAUGAACGGCAGCCUCUGAUUGGCUGUGGUUCCAGGAGGGAGAGUUUAAAAGGAGAGAGUUUGAGAGAGGGUUGAGAGGGUUGGUUGAAGUGGGUUGGAAUAGAGGUUGGGAGAUAGGUAGGGAAACAGGUUAGGAGACAGGUUGAGGUAGAAAGAGUUAAUGCAAGAAAGAGUUGGUUCUGGGGAAAAAAACAACUUCCACUUCUGAGUGUAUUGUGAAGGAAAGCCUCCCUUGCCCUGCAAAUCAUCUGGAAUGUAUACCAAUGUGGGAUCUGGCUGGUAGAAACUUUCUCCGUUUCAGGAGCAUAUAUUUCAUCAGUUGUUUAAAGGGCGGGGUGCAAAGACCAGAACAGUUAUCCCUUCAAGUUUGUUCCCAAAAUGGCAGGCGGCAUAUUCCGCUUUUAUUGUGAGUAGACAGAAGGAGAGAGGGACAUGAUUUGACUGUAAAAUGUCCCAGAACUACUAGGAACAAAUAGAUCAUUGAGUGCUGCAAUGCCCAUCAUUCCUGAUCACUUUUUAGUACUCUCUCUUUUCCAUAUUUUAUGAUAAGAAAUGCAAUAAAUUGUAUACAGUGCAGUAGUUAAUAUGCUAAUAUAGUCAACAUGAAGAAAAAGAAGUAAAUUACCCCCCUAAAAAAAAAA